AAGACACUUAAAUUUUUUAUUUUAAGUUGUGUGUGCAUGUGUGCGCGCCUGCCUUUGUAUCUCUGGAGGCCGGAGACCUUGGAUCGCGUAGAGCUGGGAACCAAAUUCCAGUCCUCUAUAAGAACAGGAAGUGCUCUUAACUGCAGAGCUAUCUCUCCAGCUCUGAAGUUUUUUUGUUUUGUUUUUUUAUUUUGCUGUGAAAUGCUUUUUCUUGUGCUUUUUCCUCGUGCAUCACAUAUCCUGCUUGUUGUUUUAUGCAUGGUUGGUUAGGGCCUUGCCUUCUGUUGGACUCCAUGGUGAUGUAAACUAAAGGAGGGCUUCUCUGAGGAUGGGCAGGUGUGUUUCUUGAUGUUUGAUAACCCCAGACAUCAAAUAGCCAUUUCUGUAUCUGCUCCAGCUAUAUUCUGACUAAGGCCUAUAGUUUUCCAUACAUUUGGAACAUUUAAGUUUUCAACCUAAUUUUGAAAAGGUUUAUUCAUCAUAUUGAAUUGUGUUUUGCCUUCAUAUUUAUCUGGUCUGUGCACCACAUGUGUGUUUAAUGGUCAUGGAAAUCAGAAGAGGGCACCAGAGGUCCAGGAACUGGAGUUACAGAUGGCUGUGAGUCUUGUAGGUGCUGGGAUCAAAUUUGGGUCCUCUGCAAGAGCAACAGUACUCUUAACUGUUGGGCAAUCUCUCCAGCCCCUCAAAUCUCAUUUUUAAAAUAAUGGCAUCCUCACCUAUUUAAUGUUGCCUACUGCUAUCCUCACCUAUUUAAUGUUACCUACUGCCACAAAAAUUUAUUUGAGGGCAGCUCAAUUUAGCUGUCUGCAGUGGGUGAUACAUGGAUGGCAUCAAACUGGAACAUGGCCAUCAGAAACAUAGCAGAGGACUUUGCCUUGUGUGACACACAUGUCUAGUGCUCUGAGCUGAGGCAUUUUUGGCUUUGUGUGUUGUUGAGUGAAUAACAUCACUACCAAACUCUAAACGAGGUGUGGGUGUGGUGUGUUCAGGUGCUGUGGUCUAGUUGCUAAAUAAGUUAUAAGCACUUCCCUUGUGGAAUUUGGAAGUGUGGAGAAGCAGCUCCUCCUCAAGCACAGCCAGAUGUGGCAACAGUCAGCCAGAUGUGGCAACAGUCAGCCAGAUGUGGCAACAGUCAGCCAGAUGUGGCAACAGUCAGCCAGAUGUGGCAAGCAGAACAGACUCUGUUGAAGUUUAUUCUGGCUCAGGCUUCCUACCUCCACAGAUCACACCUUCAUGUUUAAUUGUAUAUUUUACCUGACUUGCAGUGUUUUUGAUUGUUAAGCCACUAUAAUGUUUAGAAACAGUAGAAAGUAGAUUUCCCUUUCCCUUUCAGGAAUGCUUCUCUGCCAUAUUUUCACAUUGGUAUAAAGAAAAAUGGGGACUAGCAACAGAAUGGGAGGAUUUUUUUAAUUAGAUUUGUUGGUUUUUUUUGUUUUGUUUUGUUUUGGUUGGUUGGGUUUUGGUUGUUGUUUGUUUUGGUUUUGGGGUAUCCCCCUAAGUCCCUUGUGUACUGCCUUAGGCUUGAGCCUCUUAGUCUGCCAUGGCUACAAUACCAGAAUAACACAAACUGAAUUAAAAGAUAGAUUGUGGCGCAUGCUUUUAAUCCCAGCAUUGGGGCGUGGGGGUGGGCAAUGUUCAAUGCCAGCCUGGUCUACAUAGCAAGUUCAAGACAGCCAGGGCUAUGUAAAGAGACCCUAUUCCAAAAUAAAUAAAUAAACAGAAAACCCGUAAAUGUAGUCCCUCAUAUCUCUGAAAGCUAAAAGGUCAAAGAGCCACCCAUAGAUUGUGCUUCUCUCUCUGACUUGAAGAGAUGGUCUUCUUCCUUGGUCCCCAUUUCCUCUAUGCAAUACACCCCUGAUAAUUUUCCUCUUAUAAGAUAGCUCUCACAUCCCCUUUGAGCUAUUCUUCAGAGAUGGAUUCUUUUAUAGUUCCUCGAAGAACUGAGGUUGGCUAUCAUUUCUUUCUCUCUGAGUCUGUCCUGUCAGUUAAUCCAACUAGGGGAUUCCAAAGAUGUAGUCAGACUGGGCCAAGGAAGUGUGCUAUGGUGGUGAAACAGAAAGCACACCCUGGGCCAGGGGCACAACUUUAAUUUCCAGUACUGGGAGGCAAAGGCAGGUGGAUCCCUGUGAAUUCCAGAUCAAACAGAAUUAAAUUAUGAGACCCUAUCUUAAAAAUAAAUAAUGAGGAAGUACGUCAAGUGUCAGGUAAGCUGUUAGAGGCCACAGACCCCACAUCUACUACAGUUAUACUUGAGCUGGCCAGAAGCCAUCAUUUCUACACUGGGUUUCUCUGUUUGCAAGGGCAGGGUCAUAUGGUUUCCCUCUUGUUGGUCUCAGGAGCUGGUAGUUGAGGGCUUUGCUCUCUCUGUAUGUCUUCCAGCAUUACAUCAUGUCACAGAAAGUCAUUUCCUUUCAUCAUCAUCUUGGUCUGCAUGUAACGAAAGUACGUUUCGCAGUUAUUUUUAGUAAGCCUGCCUCUCUCGGGAGUCUAGCCUUGCCACCAGUACUCUGAGACCCCCCACGUUCUCUCUCAUGUGUGAGCUUCCCUCUUCUGGCCAGCUGCCUCCUUUUUCUCUACUUCUACUAUUCUUAUAAUUAAAUUAUUUUUAUUAAAGUAAUUUUAAUUGUGUAAUUUUUAAAUCAAAUAAUUAUUUAGAACUUAAGACAAGACAGCCUUCUCUACUUCACCCUAUGACAGCUUACAGCUUAUUAUUUGUUCAUUUAGUUGUUUAAUUUCUUUUGUUAUGUUUUGGAGGAGGGUUGGGUUUUGUUUUGUUUUUUAAAACAAGAGUUUCUCUGUGUAGCCCUAGCUGUCUUGGAACUGGAUGUGUAGACCAGACUAGCCUCAAAUUCAGAGAUCUGGGAUUAAAGGCAUGUGCCACCACUGCUCAGUUUAUUGGUUUAGUUUUAGACAGGAUAUUACUGUCUGCUUUCUAGCCUGCUAGUACUGGCUGGCCUAGAACUUGCUAUUUAUCUUAAGUCUUUUACACAGAAGCUAUUUGAUGGACAGUUAAAAUACUACUAUAACUGCCAGCAAAGUGGCUCAGCUGACAAUGGCCUAAGGCCUGAUUUUAAUCCCCAGAUCACAUAGGAUAAUAGGAGACAGAUUUGUCUUCUGACCCCUCUACCCAGAGUGUUGUGAGAAGAGUGAGCCCAUACCCAUUCACACACAUACACACAUUGAGUAAGCUCACACCCAUUUAUACACACACACACUCACACACAUAAGAGUAAGCCCACAUGGGCUGGAGAGAUGGCUCAGCUCUUCCAGAGGUCCUGAGUUCAAUUCCCAGCAACCACAUGGUGGCUUACAACCAUCUGUAAUGGGGAUCCGAUGCCCUCUUCUGGUGUGUCUGAAGAUAGCAACAGUGAACUCACAUAACAUGAAAUAAAUAAAUAAAAUCUUU
rnacentral:lncRNA from 1 species